rnacentral:rRNA from 1 species
GUGCCAGCAGCCGCGGUAAUACGUAGGUGGCAAGCGUUGUCCGGAUUCACUGGGCGUAAAGCGCGCGCAGGCGGUCUUCUACGUCUGGGGUGAAAACCCGGGGCUCAACCCCGGGACUGCCUUGGAUACGGGAAGACUUGAGGAUCGGAGAGGCAAGGGGAAUUCCACGUGUAGCGGUGAAAUGCGUAGAGAUGUGGAGGAACACCUGUGGCGAAGGCGCCUUGCUGGCCGAUUUCUGACGCUGAGGCGCGAAAGCGUGGGGAGCAAACAGGAUUAGAUACCCGCGUAGUCC